rnacentral:tRNA from 1 species
GGCGAAGUGGCGGAACCGGUAGACGCGCUUGACUCAAAAUCAAGUGUCCUCUGGACGUGUGGGUUCGAGUCCCACCUUCGCUA